UAACUCUUAGCGCUAAUUUCUAAUUUCUCACUAAUUAUAACUGGAGCUCAUCCUCCGAGGUUGAAGAUAAUACUUCUAGAAAGUCGAGUUAAAAAGUACUAGAAGCGUUGGCAGGAAAAGAACAACUCUGCUUUAGCAGCCAAACAUAAAUCUGCGGGUUCAAUUGAGGCUUAUUGAACAGAGUGAACUUUGAUAAGUAACUAGUUGAUGGCUUGUAUAUAGUGGAAUAUAAUUAUUGGUUGCGGUCUACAUAGUGUCUUCUGACAAGGAAAAUAAGAAAUUGAAAGGCUGUUGAGAUGAAAAAUUAUAUGAGUUUGACUUGGUGAAGAAUACUCCGUAGGUGGAUAGAUAUUGGAG
rnacentral:sRNA from 1 species